UACAGAGGGUGCAAGCGUUGCUCGGAAUUAUUGGGCGUAAAGGGCAGGUAGGUGGUCUUGUUUGUCAGAGGUGAAAUCCCUGGGCUUAACCCAGGAAGUGCCUCUGAAACGGCAAGACUCGAGUACUGGAGAGGGUCGUGGAAUUCCCGGUGUAGCGGUGAAAUGCGUAGAGAUCGGGAGGAACACCAGAGGCGAAGGCGGCGACCUGGACAGUAACUGACACUCAACUGCGAAAGCGUGGGGAGCAAACAGGAUUAGAUACCCUGGUAGUCCACGCUGUAAACGAUGGGUAUUAGGCUUGGUGGGUCUUGACCCCUGCCGAGCCGGAGCUAACGCGAUAAAUACCCCGCCUGGGAAGUACGGUCGCAAGACUAAA
rnacentral:rRNA from 1 species